rnacentral:rRNA from 1 species
GAAGCUUAACAGCCAGCCCAUCCAAACAAAAUCAACCCAAAACUAUUAAUAACCCCUAAUAAAGUUUAUUAAACAAAACAAAUCAUUUUUCCCCCUUAGUACGGGCGACGGAAAAGGGACUUGGAGCUAUAGAGAAAGUACCGCAAGGGACUGCUGAAAGAGAAAUGAAACAAUCCAGAAAAGCUUAGAAAAGCAGAGAUAAAAACUCGUACCUUUUGCAUCAUGACUCAGCUAGUGUAAUUUAAGCAAAGUGCCCUGUAGUUUGUUACCCGAAACUAAGUGAGCUACUUCAAGUCAGCCUGCAAGUAGGGCGAACCCGUCUCUGUGGCAAAAGAGUGGGGAGAACUUUGAGUAGAGGUGAUAGACCUACCGAACUUAGUUAUAGCUGGUUGCCUAAGAAAUAAAUAAAAGUUUAGCCCUUAAGUUUUUUUAUUUAUGUUCGUAUUACCUGUACUAAUAUGAAGAAGUUUAAGAAGUUAUUCAAAGGGGGUACAGCCCCUUUGAAAAAAGAUACAACUUUUACAGGAGGAUAAAGAUCAUA